rnacentral:tRNA from 1 species
GUCCCCAUCGUCUAGGGGUCUAGGACACCGCCUUUUCACGGCGGUAACCGGGGUUCGAAGCCCCGUGGGGACGCCA